rnacentral:lncRNA from 1 species
UGACUUAGGGCUUUUUGUGCCCAUGUUCGUUUUAUGGUCGCGCAAAAAUAGAGAGGUACAAACUCGAACACAGGCAGAUGAGAUGGAAGGCACCUAGUUAAUGAGGAAUCGGAAGCAAAUCAGUUGGAGAAGGUUCGAUCCUCGUCUGAUCGGUGAAGGGUGUACGAAAUCAGGUGAGGGGUCCGAUGGGGAGUCCCAGAUUGUCGAUCGGUGGUUGAGGAAUCGCGAGAGGAGAUAUCGACCCCCGCUGCUUCUGUUUGCUUCACCGCCGGCGGGAAUGAAGAGAGGGGAACGGUGGGCAGUGACAAUGGGUGUUCGAUGGGCGAAAAUCGCGAGGAGGAAGGCACCUUCGAUUGGGGGCUGUUCGAUCCUCAUCUGAUCGAUUGUAAAGGAACGGAAACAGAAGAAGUGGAGGGUUGGAUCCUUGUUUGACCAAGAGCAGAAAACGAAAAUAGAAAGACGAUGUGCUUGACUGGUUCGAGAAAAAGAAACAUGAAAGUGAUUUGGUUCGACGGUGGUUAUCAGUGGGGCGGCUUAUUUCCAUCGAACCUUCUUAGGUUUCUUCCUCAUCUCUGGCAGCAAGAACACGAAGGGACAACAGUGGCAGUUCCGAUCCAUAAAAGGUAAAAUGGUUGAUUUUUGGGAUUGUCUGUUGUUUGAUAGGGAUAGAUUUAGGUGGAUGUUUGGUUGGAUCAUUUUACAGGGAAGUAAAAGAAAUACAAACGUGAGGUUACUCUUUUUGUUUGCAGGUAUACCCGAGAACAAGAACAGUUCUUGUGUUGUUGACAGGAAUCGGUAUAGGGAAAAGGAUGUUUGGGUUUGAUUGUUUGACAGGAAAGAAGGUAAAAUGGUGGUAGGGUGGUGACAGUGCAAGGUGGUGUUGGGGUUUUAGCAACCACCGAUUGCUGCUGUGAAUUUGAUGGGAAGGAAGAAUCCAUUUGUUGUUGCUGGAAAUGAAGAUGCAAGCAGAUAUAAAGGAUCGAUCAACUUUACUGUAAGGGUUUAAUUUUUGUUUAAUUGUUUGUGAAUCAGUACUUGAUGAGUAGAAGCAAUGCCAUGGGUUUUCCCUUAACUGUGUGUGAGUUGUAAUACAGGUGAAAGAAAAACGUAGGAAGGAAGUAAAAAUAAUGGAGUGCAAGUUUUUUUUGAGUUUUUCUUUGUAUAAAAUGAAACUUGGAAGAAGGUAUUAUUUGGCUGUCUUUAUCUAUUUAUUUAUUUGUAUUUGUGUAUGUAUUGUUGAGAAAUUUUAUUGCUUUUAUUCUUGAUAUAUAUCAUGGUUGUAAAAAUCGGUCUAGGCGGCUGAUUAAUCGGCGCUUGGCGGACUCUAACUGCUUACGAAUAGCUGUUAUUGGGUAAGCUAGUCGGUCUUGGUCAAUAUCGGUAAAAGACGGUCCAAAUUGGACUAAUUCGUCCCAAAUCGGACCAAAAUGACUUCAACCCACUAGCUCAAAGGAGCAAACCCACCCAAAAUAUAGUUGGGUCGGGUUUUUUUAGCCCACCUAGUUGGGUUUGAAUUUUUGAAGGAACUAACUCUCCUUUUAUAAGAUAUGUGCGCCUUCGUCUAUUGUCCCACCAACGAUGAGGGAUACAAACACGAAAUUUCCUUCUUCACUGGAAACAUGAGCGAUGUGGGAUGCAAACCCAAAACUUCCUUCUUCACAACUCCAUCGAACACUCUCUACACCACCAUCCUUCUUCACUGGAAACACGAAACUUCCCCAUUAUUAGGUCGAGAUGAAAUUCGUCAAUUUAGAAUCUGGGUUCAGGUCGAGAUGAAACUUCCUUAGGAUCUGUCGAACAAUCACCUUGAAGACGAUGAUCGUCGGCCCCAACACUGUCGACAUGAUUCCUAACUAUGGCCGUUCAAUGACUCUCUGCCCCUUCCACCCUAUUGGAGAUGUAUUGCUUCAUAAGCAAAUCUGCUUCGUAGGUAAGCCAUUUCUUACAAAUUGGUUUCAUGUUUCUUACUUCUACACAUAGCCUGUUAGCAAAUCUGAUUCACACUUCACUAUGGUCGUUCAAUCUUAGUUUCAUGUUUCUUACUUCUUCAAUCUUGACACACGUUGGUUUUAUGUGUGAAUGGUGGUUUAUAUGAUUAGGAAAUCGCUUACUUAGUGUAUGAAACCAUCCGUCCACCAAGUGUUUGAUCAAUUGCCUGAGUGAAUCUUGUAGUCUUGAUUAUCAAAGUGAGGUAUUGGUAUUCAUGGGUUCUUAAUUAAAACUUUAGCAAUAUGUAUUGGGUUUAAUUGUUGUUGCUGGAAUAUAUGCUACAUAUAAUAAUGGAUUGGUUAUGCAUACAAACUAUGAUAGACAAAAAGAUAAUAUGAAUUGAUUGGUGAAAUCAUGCCUCACAAUAAUAGAUUGUGCAUUGCAGGACAUAAGAAUGGAUUGGAUAUGAACUCACAAUGAAAGUGUUAAUGUUGAUAAGGUGCAACAACAUGUUGAUAAGGUAAAAUCAUGUCUCCCAAGAAUGGGUACUUCCUGUUUUCAUUUGAUAACUUAGAUCCAAAUGCAGUAGUUGGUUAUUUAAAUGUGAUGUAUUAAGGAUCAAAAGGGUUUUUUGUAAUCAUGGUUUGUUGUUAUAAUGUGAUCUUUAUUAGGUUUUUAAUAAAUUUUUUAUUGAUAUAAUGUUAUAUUCUUAGGUAUAAUGUUAUAUAUAUAUUAAUAUUUUAAUAAUUAAUGGUCCCCGAUUAAUCCCUGUCUAACCGAUUAAUUGUUUGA